AUUUUUGAAUAUUAUAGCUUAAUAACCUUUCAAAUACUUUUCCAGUCAACUAAGUUAAGAUCACAGGUCUAUAAUUUCCAGGCAAGGAUUUUGAACCGUUUUUGAAUAUAGGAACCACAUCUGCCCUCCUCCAAUCCUCCGGAACACUUUCUGAAAGAAAAUCUUGAAAGAUUAAAAACAGAGGUUCACUUAUUUCUACACUUGGUUCCUUAAGUACUCGUGGAUGGAUACUGUCAGGCCCUGG